rfam:Picea glauca, whole genome shotgun sequence.
UUGUACAUUCCUACAACAUAAUGUUAGUGCAACGGAUCCAAUUAGAACUCUACAGUUAAGUGUGCUUAGGAUAGAUUAGUACAGGGAAGGGCGACUGCCUGUGAAGUCCUAGUGUUUUACUUG